GACGAACGCUGGCGGCGUGCCUAAUACAUGCAAGUCGAACGAAGCUGUUUUAACUGGUGCUUGCACCGACUUAAACAACUGAGUGGCGAACGGGUGAGUAACACGUGGGUAACCUGCCCCAAAGCGGGGGAUAACAUUUGGAAACAGAUGCUAAUACCGCAUAACCACAGAAACCACAUGGUUUCUGUGUCAAAGAUGGUUUCGGCUAUCACUUUGGGAUGGACCCGCGGCGUAUUAGCUAGUUGGUAAGGUAAUGGCUUACCAAGGCAAUGAUACGUAGCCGAACUGAGAGGUUGAUCGGCCACAUUGGGACUGAGACACGGCCCAAACCCCUACGGGAGGCAGCAGUAGGGGAUCUUCCACAAUGGGCGCAAGCCUGAUGGAGCAACACCGCGUGAGUGAAGAAGGUUUUCGGCUCGUAAAACUCUGUUGUUAAAGAAGAACGUAUCUAAGAGUAACUGCUUAGGUAGUGACGGUAUUUAACCAGAAAGCCACGGCUAACUACGUGCCAGCAGCCGCCGUAA
rnacentral:rRNA from 1 species